GAUGAACGCUGGCGGCGUGCCUAACACAUGCAAGUCGAACGGAGAUUACGGACGGAAGUUUUCGGAUGGAAGACUGUAAUUCUUAGUGGCGGACGGGUGAGUAACGCGUGGGCAACCUGCCCUAUACAGGGGGAUAGCAGCUGGAAACGGCUGGUAAGACCGCAUAAGUCGGUUAAAUCGCAUGAUUUGAUCGGGAAAUGAGCAAUCAGGUAUAGGAUGGGCCCGCGUCCGAUUAGCCAGUUGGCAGGGUAAAAGCCUACCAAAGCGACGAUCAGUAGCCGGACUGAGAGGUCGGACGGCCACAUUGGGACUGAGACACGGCCCAAACUCCUACGGGAGGCAGCAGUGGGGGAUAUUGCACAAUGGAGGAAACUCUGAUGCAGCGACGCCGCGUGAGUGAAGAAGUAUUUCGGUAUGUAAAGCUCUAUCAGCAGGGAAGAUGAUGACGGUACCUGACUAAGAAGCCCCGGCUAACUACGUG
rnacentral:rRNA from 1 species